UACGUAGGGUGCAAGCGUUGCCCGGAUUUAUUGGGCGUAAAGGGCGCGUAGGCGGCUCGGCACGUCCGUUGUGAAAUCGCCCGGCUCAACUGGGCGGGGUCAGCGGAUACGGUCGAGCUUGAGCAAGCUAGGGGGCAAUGGAAUUCCCGGUGUAGUGGUGGAAUGCGUAGAUAUCGGGAGGAACACCAGUGGCGAAGGCGGUUGCCUGGAGCUUUGCUGACGCUGAGGCGCGAAAGCGUGGGGAGCGAGUCCGG
rnacentral:rRNA from 1 species